rnacentral:rRNA from 1 species
AUUGAACGCUGGCGGCAGGCCUAACACAUGCAAGUCGAGCGACAGCGGGUCCUUCGGGAUGCCGGCGAGCGGCGGACGGGUGAGUAAUGCCUAGGAAUUUGCCUGGUAGUGGGGGAUAACUCGGGGAACUGGGAUUAAUACCGUAUGAUACUUCUACUAAGCAUUAAGAAGAAGUCAAAGCGUAAAGCGGUGAAAGAUGGUCUCGCGUCCCAUUAGUUAGUUGGUGAGGUAACGGCUCACCAAGACUUCGAUGGGUAGCCGGCCUGAGAGGGUGAACGGCCACACUGGAACUGAGACACGGUCCAG